rnacentral:rRNA from 1 species
GUGGGGAAUCUUCCGCAAUGGACGAAAGUCUGACGGAGCAACGCCUCGUGAGUGAAGAAGGUUUUCGGAUCGUAAAGCUCUUUCGUUAGGGACGAACGUGCUCUUUGUGAAUAAUGAGGAGUAAUGACGGUACCUAAAUAAGAAGCCACGGCUAACUACGUGCCAGCAGCCGCGGUAAUACGUAGGUGGCAAGCGUUGUCCGGAAUUAUUGGGCGUAAAGCGCGCGCAGGCGGGAUAUCAAGUCUGUCUUAAAAGUGCGAGGCUCAACCUCGUGAGGGGACAGAAACUGGUAUUCUUGAGUGUCGGAGAGGAAAGUGGAAUUCCAAGUGUAGCGGUGAAAUGCGUAGAGAUUUGGAAGAACACCAGUGGCGAAGGCGACUUUCUGGACGAUGUCUGACGCUGAGGCGCGAAAGCUAGGGGAGCGAACGGGAUUAGAUACCCGAGUAGUCC